rnacentral:rRNA from 1 species
UACAGAGGGGGCAAGCGUUGUUCGGAAUUACUGGGCGUAAAGGGCGCGUAGGCGGCCUGUUAAGUCGGACGUGAAAUCCCUCGGCUCAACCGGGGAACUGCGUCCGAUACUGGCGGGCUUGAAUCCGGGAGAGGGAUGUGGAAUUCCAGGUGUAGCGGUGAAAUGCGUAGAUAUCUGGAGGAACACCGGUGGCGAAGGCGGCAUCCUGGACCGACAUUGACGCUGAGGCGCGAAAGCCAGGGGAGCAAACGGG